ensembl:lncRNA
AUCCCAUUCCAUCCAUUCCAUCCCAUCCCCAUUCAUCCCAAUUCCAUUCCAUUCCCAUUCCGUUUCAUCUCAUUCCAUUCCAAUCCCAUUCCAUUCCAUUCCAUUCCAUCCCAUUCAUUCCAUUCCAUUCCAUCCAUUCCAUCCAUUCCAUUCCGUCCAUUCCGAUCCAUUUUCCAAUUCCAUCCCGUUCCAUUCCAUUCCAUUCCAUCCCAUUCCAUUCCAUUCCAUUCCGAUCCAUUCCAUCCGAUCUGUUCCAGUCCCGUACCAUUCCUUUCCAUUCUGAACCAUUCCAUUCUGACCCGUGCCAUUCCGUUCAUUCAUUCCGUUCCAUUCCGACCCAUUCCAUACCUACCCAAUCCAUUCCAUUCCGUUCCAUUCCAUUCCAUUCCAAUCCAUUCCAUUCCGUUCCAUUCCAUUCCAUUCCAUUCCAAUCCAUUCCAUUCCAUUCCAUUCCAUUCCAUCCCAUUCCAUUCCGUCUCACUUCCAUUCCAUUCCAAUCCAUUCCAUUCCAUCCAUUCCAUCCAUUUCCAAUUCAUUCCAUUCCGUUCCAUUCCAUUCCAUUCCAAAUCCAUUCCAUCCGUUCCAUUCCAUUCCAUUCCAAUCCAUUCCAUUCCAUUCCAUUCCAUUCCAUUCCGUUCCAUUCCGACCCGUUUCAUUCCGAUCCAUUCCGAUCUAUUCCGUUCCAUUCUGUUUCCAUUCAUUCUAUCCAUUCCGACCUGUUCCAUUCAAUUCCGUUCCAUUCAAUUCCGUUCCAUUCAAUUCCGUUCCAUUCCGAUCCAUUCAGUUCUGUUCCAUUCCGUUCCAUUCCAUUCCGCUCCAUACUGUUCUGUUCCGUUCCAUUUCAUUCUGUUCCAUUCCGACCCGUUCCAUUCUCUUCCAUUCCGUUCUUUUCCAUUCCAUUCCAUCCCAUUCCACUCCGACCCAUUCCGUUCCAUUCCAUUCCAUUCCAUUCCAUUCCAUUCCAUUCCAUUCCAUUCUGUUCCGUUCCAUACCGAUCCAUUCUGACCCGUUCCAUUCCGUUCCAUACGGUUCCAUCCCGUUCCAAUCCCAUUCCAUUCCAUUCCGUUCCGUCCCAUUCCAUUCCAUCCCGUUCUGUUCCAUCCCAUUCCAUCCCGUUCUGUUCCAUCCCAUCCCAUCCCAUUCCAUUCCAUUCCAUUCCAUUCCAAUCCCAUCCCAUUCCAUCCAUUCCAUCCAUUCCAUCCCAUCCCAAUCCAUUCCAUCCACCAUCCCAUUCCAUUCCCAUCCAUAUUCCAUUCCAUUCCUUUCAUCUCAUUCCAUUCCAUCCAUUCAUUUCAUUCAUUCCAUCCCAUUCACAUUCAUUCCAUUCCAUUCCAUUCCAUUCCAUUCAUUCCCAUUCCCAUUCCGUUCCAAUCCAUUCCCCAUUCCAUCCCAUUCCAUUCCAUUCCAUCCCAUCCCAUUCCAUUCCAUUCCAUCCCAUCCCAUUCCAUCCCAUUCCAUUCCAUUCCAUUCCGUUCCAUCUCAUUCCAUUCCAUCCCAUUCCAUUCCAUUCCAUUCCAUUCCACCCAUCCGUUCCACCCAUCCAUUCCAUUCCAUUCCCAUUCCACCCAUUCCCAUUCCGUCCAUCCAU